UCAGGAGCUUAUAAUUUAGUAGACAAAUAAGCCAAAAACAGAAGCCAGCUCUGUGUCAGGCCCCAUGAGAAGUCUGCAGGUGCGAUUUAGAGGGAAAGCUGACUAACAUUGAACAUCAACAUAGACUUCAUCUGAUAAGAAACAUUCAUGAUCUAUUCUCGUGCCACCUGGAGACUGUACAGGAAGGAUGGCUGGGGAGGCCUCAGGAAACUUACAAUCACAGCGGAAGGCAAAGAGGAAGCAGGCAGCGGCUUCGUGGCAGCAGCAGGAAGAAGGCGGCGGGGAGGUGCUACAUACUUUUAAACAACUGGAUCUUGUGAGAACUCACUCACUAACAGGAGAACAGCAAGGGGGAAAUCUGCCCCCUGAUUAUUCAGUCACCUCCCACCAGGCUCCUCCUCCAGCAGUGGGGAUUACAAUUUCACAUGAGAUUUGAGUGGGGACACAAAUCCAAACCAUAUCAGUGUCAUUAAAAAAAAGUUGCCCUGCUAACUUUUUUAAUCCCCUGUAAAUCUAAAUAAAAUAAUGAUGUGAGCAUGAUAA
rnacentral:lncRNA from 1 species